UAAACNUNUUNCANUAGGGACGAAGCGCAAGUGACGGUACCUAUAGAAGAAGCNCCGGCCAANUACGUGCCAGCAGCCGCGGUAAUACGUAGGGUGCGAGCGUUNUCCGGAAUUACUGGGCGUAAAGAGNUCGUAGGUGGUUUGUCGCGUUGUUCGUGAAAACUCACAGCUUAACUGUGGGCGUGCGGGCGAUACGGGCAGACUAGAGUACUGCAGGGGAGACUGGAAUUCCUGGUGUAGCGGUGGAAUGCGCAGAUAUCAGGAGGAACACCGGUGGCGAAGGCGGGUCUCUGGGCAGUAACUGACGCUGAGGAGCGAAAGCGUGGGGAGCGAACAGGAUUAGAUACCCUGGUAGUCCACGCCGUAAACGGUGGGUACUAGGUGUGGGUUCCUUCCUUGGGAUCCGUGCCGUAGCUAACGCAUUAAGUACCCCGCCUGGGGAGUACGGCCGCAAGNNNNNNACUCAAAGGAAUUGACGGGGGCCCGCACAAGCGGCGGAGCAUGUGGAUUAAUUCGAUGCAACGCGAAGAACCUUACCUGGGUUUGACAUGCACAGGACGCCGGCAGAGAUGUCGGUUCCCUUGUGGCCUGUGUGCAGGUGGUGCAUGGCUGUCGUCAGCUCGUGUCGUGAGAUGUUGGGUUAAGUCCCGCAACGAGCGCAACCCUUGUCCUAUGUUGCCAGCGGGUUAUGCCGGGGACUCGUAGGAGACUGCCGGGGUCAACUCGGAGGAAGGUGGGGAUGACGUCAAGUCAUCAUGCCCCUUAUGUCCAGGGCUUCACACAUGCUACAAUGGCCGGUACAAAGGGCUGCGAUGCCGUGAGGUGGAGCGAAUCCUUUCAAAGCCGGUCUCAGUUCGGAUCGGGGUCUGCAACUCGACCCCGUGAAGUCGGAGUCGCUAGUAAUCGCAGAUCAGCAACGCUGCGGUGAAUACGUUCCCGGGCCUUGUACACACCGCCCGUCACGUCAUGAAAGUCGGUAACACCCGAAGCCGGUGGCCUAACCCUUG
rnacentral:rRNA from 1 species